GAUCUUGGUGAACCGUAUCCAGAAUUAGAGAUGGUUGUAGCUCUCUUGUCUAAAGGCCCAGUGGGUAUCGGUGAUAGAGUAAACUUUGCUAACAGUUCAAUAAUCAAAAAGUGCUGUUCUUCUGAUGGUAAAUUAUUACAACCAAUGCGUCCAGCUAAAGCCAUAGAUUUACAGAUUAUAGAGUCGGCUUUUAAAGAUGGCAGCGGGCCUGAUGGUGAAGUAUGGUCUACAUACACAAAUAUACCCUCUGUAGGGAUGUCUGUUUCCGGCAAUGCUACGUAUGGUGUUAUUUUUGCUGCUGGGUUAACAAAGCCCUUCGACAUCACACCAGAAAAUACCCACUUAAAUUUUGAUGUGUCAAAAAUUCACAAUGAUUUUCCAAAGAGUAAAAUAUACAGAUGGAAUGAACCGGGCGUGUUCUAUGACUUUUCUAAAGACAUCAAGUUCACUUUACAGAAUUGUACUUUAGACAAUUUUUGUUUGUAUUAUACGGCUCCUAUUAUUGAAUUUGAUGGUCAAGAAGUUGUGAUACUGGGUGAAUUGGACAAAUGGAUCCAUAUGCCAUACCAAAGAGUUACACAAAUUUCAGUUACUGAUACAAUAGAUAUGGAAAUCAACGGUGCUGCCAACGAAGAAGUGGAAAUCUGGAUUGCUGUGAAUGGCAAUAUAGGUGCCAUAGCAACUAGAACCGACGACAAUGGAUUGGCGCGUUUUAAAUAUGAGCGCAAACAUACGAAUGGAGCAGAUUACCUUCAAUUCUCACUCAAGACGUUGCUUGCAUGUGUUGUUUGUAUAUUAUUGUCACCGUAUUUAAGAGCAUAAAUGAAAUGAGCUGUAUCAUUA